rnacentral:rRNA from 1 species
UACGUAGGGGGCAAGCGUUGUCCGGAAUCAUUGGGCGUAAAGAGCGUGUAGGCGGCCCGGUAAGUCCGCUGUGAAAGUCCAGGGCUCAACCCUGGGAUGCCGGUGGAUACUGUCGGGCUCGAGUCCGGAAGAGGAGUGUGGAAUUCCUGGUGUAGCGGUGAAAUGCGCAGAUAUCAGGAGGAACACCAAUGGCGAAGGCAGCACUGGGACGUGACUGACGCUGAGACGCGAAAGCGUGGGGAGCAAACAGG